AGGACGAACGCUGGCGGCGUGCUUAACACAUGCAAGUCGAGCGGAAAGGCCCUUCGGGGUACUCGAGCGGCGAACGGGUGAGUAACACGUGAGCAACCUGCCCUCAGCUCUGGGAUAGCUCCCGGAAACGGGAAUUAAUACCGGAUACGACCCCAACUGACAUCGGUCAGGGUGGAAAGGAUUCCGGCUGAGGAUGGACUCGCGGCCUAUCAGCUAGUUGGUGGAGUAACGGCCCACAAGGCGACGACGGGUA
rnacentral:rRNA from 1 species